rnacentral:rRNA from 1 species
GAUCAAAUCAAGCGCGAGAAGGGCGUUUGGUGGAUGCCUUGGCAGUAAGAGGCGAUGAAAGACGUGAUACCCUGCGAUAAGCUUGGGGGAGCCGGGAAUAGGCUUUGAUCCCAAGAUCUCUGAAUGGGGGAACCCACCUGACAGAUCGUUAUUGUUAGCUCUGCUAAUCAAUAAUGGUUUGAACCAGGUACUUAAGGACUGAAUACAUAGGUCUUUAAGAGCAAACCCGGGGAACUGAAACAUCUAAGUACCCGGAGGAAAGGACAUCAAUAGAGACUCCGUUAGUAGUGGCGAGCGAACGCGGACCAGCCGAGCCUGAUGAGUGACCAGAAUGCGUUGGGAAACGCAGCCAGAGCGGGUGACAGCCCCGUAUGGGAAGCUCUGAGGGACGUAUUAAGUAGGGCGGGACACGUGAAAUCCUGUUCGAAGAUCGGAGGACCACCUCCGAAGGCUAAGUACUCCUUACUGACCGAUAGCGAACCAGUACCGUGAGGGAAAGGUGAAAAGCACCCCGGCGAGGGGAGUGAAACAGUACCUGAAACCGAACGCCUACAAUCAGUUGGAGGCCCCUUGAGGGCUGACAGCGUACCUUUUGUAUAAUGGGUCAUCGACUUGGUCUCACGAGCAAGCUUAAACCGCUAGGUGUAGGCGCAGCGAAAGCGAGUCUUAAUAGGGCGCAUGAGUUCGUGGGAUCAGACCCGAAACCGAGUGAUCUAGGCAUGGCCAGGUUGAA